CAAUGUCUGAUUCUGGGCUUACUCAAUUGAGUCUGGGAGACAGCCACUACAGCGCGGGGACAUAUGGAGGAGACGUGAGGGUGGAACCUCGAAUUAGGAGGUUGGAGAUGCCCUUUUUGAAGGGAUAGAGCCGGAUGGAUGGGUCUUUCGUGUGGAGAGGUAUUUUCACAUUAACAAGAUGAUGGAGGAAGAAAAGGUGCAGGCCGCCUCGGUGUGCUUCGAUGGAGAAGCCCUAGCUUGGUUCAAAUGGGAGGAGAAACGCAGACCCAUGAAGAAUUUGGAGGAGGUGAAGGUUCGAUUGCUACGGCGAUUUCGACCCUCAUAGGAGGGGUCACUUUGUGCUCAGUUCCUAUCCCUCAAAUAGAGCGCCACCGUGAGAGACCACCGCCGGCAAUUUUAGACUUUGGCGUCGCCAUUGACAGGAGUUUCAGGGGAAAUUCUGGAGUGUAGCUUCCUCAACGGCCUGAAA
rnacentral:lncRNA from 1 species